rnacentral:rRNA from 1 species
AGACCCGAAACCCGGUGAUCUAGCCAUGGGCAGGUUGAAGGUUGGGUAACACUAACUGGAGGACCGAACCGACUAAUGUUGAAAAAUUAGCGGAUGACCUGUGGCUGGGGGUGAAAGGCCAAUCAAACCGGGAGAUAGCUGGUUCUCCCCGAAAGCUAUUUAGGUAGCGCCUCGUGAAUUCAUCUCCGGGGGUAGAGCACUGUUUCGGCUAGGGGGCCAUCCCGGCUUACCAACCCGAUGCAAACUGCGAAUACCGGAGAAUGUUAUCACGGGAGACACACGGCGGGUGCUAACGUCCGUCGUGAAGAGGGAAACAACCCAGACCGCCAGCUAAGGUCCCAAAGUCAUGGUUAAGUGGGAAACGAUGUGGGAAGGCCCAGACAGCCAGGAUGUUGGCUUAGAAGCAGCCAUCAUUUAAAGAAAGCGUAAUAGCUCACUGGUCGAGUCGGCCUGCGCGGAAGAUGUAACGGGGCUAAACCAUGCACCGAAGCUGCGGCAGCGAACGUAUCACCCAAGACAACUUUACGGAGUUGACGAUUGACGGAGCGAAGCGACGUCAAAGCGUUCAUUAAAGUCGAGUUGGCUUAGGGAUACGUUCGUUGGGUAGGGGAGCGUUCUGUAAGCCUGUGAAGGUGUGUCGUGAGGCAUGCUGGAGGUAUCAGAAGUGCGAAUGCUGACAUAAGUAACGAUAAAGCGGGUGAAAAGCCCGCUCGCCGGAAGACCAAGGGUUCCUGUCCAACGUUAAUCGGGGCAGGGUGAGUCGACCCCUAAGGCGAGGCCGAAAGGCGUAGUCGAUGGGAAACGGGUUAAUAUUCCCGUACUUGGUGUUACUGCGAAGGGGGGACGGAGAAGGCUAUGUUGGCCGGGCGACGGUUGUCCCGGUUUAAGCGUGUAGGUGUGUGUUCCAGGUAAAUCCGGUUCACUUUAACACUGAGGCGUGACGACGAGGCACUACGGUGCUGAAGCAACAAAUGCCCUGCUUCC